GGACGGGUAGCUCAGUGGUCAGAGCAUUCAUGAGCCUUAUCAGCGUUGGUUCAAAGCGUUUAGUAGGUGUCCUGGGUCCGAAUCUCAGCCCGCCCA